rnacentral:rRNA from 1 species
UACGGAGGGUGCAAGCGUUAUCCGGAUUCACUGGGUUUAAAGGGUGCGUAGGCGGGCAGGUAAGUCAGUGGUGAAAUCCUAGAGCUCAACUCUAGAACUGCCAUUGAUACUAUCUGUCUUGAAUAUUGUGGAGGUAAGCGGAAUAUGUCAUGUAGCGGUGAAAUGCUUAGAUAUGACAUAGAACACCUAUUGCGAAGGCAGCUUACUACGCAUAUAUUGACGCUGAGGCACGAAAGCGUGGGGAUCAAACAGG